rnacentral:rRNA from 1 species
GACGAACGCUGGCGGCAUGCCUAAUACAUGCAAGUCGAGCGGACUUGAUGAGAAGCUUGCUUCUCAGAUAGUUAGCGGCGGACGGGUGAGUAACACGUAGGCAACCUGCCCUCAAGCUUGGGACAACUACCGGAAACGGUAGCUAAUACCGAAUACUUGUUUUCUUCGCCUGAAGGAAACUGGAAAGACGGAGUAAUCUGUCACUUGGGGAUGGGCCUGCGGCGCAUUAGCUAGUUGGUGAGGUAACGGCUCACCAAGGCGACGAUGCGUAGCCGACCUGAGAGGGUGAUCGGCCACACUGGGACUGAGACACGGCCCAGACUCCUACGGGAGGCAGCAGUAGGGAAUCUUCCGCAAUGGGCGAAAGCCUGACGGAGCAAUGCCGCGUGAGUGAUGAAGGUUUUCGGAUCGUAAAGCUCUGUUGCCAGGGAAGAACGCUUGGGAGAGUAACUGCUCCCAAGGUGACGGUACCUGAGAAGAAAGCCCCGGCUAACUACGUGCCAGCCGCCGCGGUAA